AUGAAGGAUAGGCACUACCCCGAUGCCAAAUGGGAUCUCGUUUCCCUUGAAGGAGAAGCGAGCAGCACCGUCAUGCCACGUGAAGGAGUCGGUGAUGUCGACAUGGUCCGCGGCUUCGUCCUUCAUGGUACCGGCUCGUCGAGCUGGGCGAAGGGUGUGACGGGUGAUUUGAACGCCGGGAGGCAUCAUGGCGAGCACCAUGUCGUGGUCCUCAGCGUGAUGAAAUGGAGGCACCAGCUUGACGAUAUUGACGGUGGGCGGCGCUGUGGCGUGCCCUGCGUCAUUGUGUUCCGCGGCACCGUGUGGCGAAGUGGGCGCGAGGAGUGGGGGUGGUCUCCGUGGCAUCGGCCUCCAUGGCGCCGGCUCGGCGACAUCGAAAGGUGGGCGGCAUCAUGGCAAUGCUCCGUGUCGUUGUCCUUCCGUGGCGCCUCGUGGCAAAGUGGGCGUGAGUGGUGA
rnacentral:rRNA from 1 species